CAGCAGCCGCGGGAAUACGUAGGUCCCGAGCGUUGUCCGGAUUUAUUGGGCGUAAAGCGAGCGCAGGCGGUUAGAUAAGUCUGAAGUUAAAGGCUGUGGCUUAACCAUAGUACGCUUUGGAAACUGUUUAACUUGAGUGCAAGAGGGGAGAGUGGAAUCCCAUGUGUAGCGGUGAAAUGCGUAGAUAUAUGGAGGAACACCGGUGGCGAAAGCGGCUCUCUGGCUUGUAACUGACGCUGAGGCUCGAAAGCGUGGGGCGCAAACAGGAUUAGAUACCCCCGUAGUCCCUGUCUCUUAUACC
rnacentral:rRNA from 1 species